GUAAGAAUAAGCAUCGGCUAACUCCGUGCCAGCAGCCGCGGUAAUACGGAGGAUGCAAGCGUUAUCCGGAUUCAUUGGGUUUAAAGGGUGCGCAGGCGGAAUAAUAAGUCAGCGGUGAAAGCCUACAGCUUAACUGUAGAACUGCCAUUGAUACUGUUAUUCUUGAGUGUUGUUGAGGUAGGCGGAAUGUGUCAUGUAGCGGUGAAAUGCUUAGAUAUGACACAGAACACCGAUCGCGAAGGCAGCUUACCAAGCAACAACUGACGCUCAUGCACGAAAGCGUGGGGAUCAAACAGGAUUAGAUACCCUGGUAGUCCACGCCGUAAACGAUGAUCACUCGAUGUUGGCGAUACACAGUCAGCGUCUUAGCGAAAGUAUUAAGUGAUCCACCUGGGGAGUACGGUCGCAAGAUUGAAACUCAAAGGAAUUGACGGGGGCCCGCACAAGCGGAGGAGCAUGUGGUUUAAUUCGAUGAUACGCGAGGAACCUUACCUGGGCUCGAACGUGGAAUGACAGUCGCGGAAACGUGAUCUUCUUCGGACAUUCUACGAGGUGCUGCAUGGUUGUCGUCAGCUCGUGCCGUGAGGUGUCGGGUUAAGUCCCAUAACGAGCGCAACCCCUAUCUUUAGUUGCCAUCAGGUAAUGCUGGGGACUCUAAAGAAACUGCCUACGCAAGUAGUGAGGAAGGCGGGGAUGACGUCAAAUCAGCACGGCCCUUACGUCCAGGGCUACACACGUGCUACAAUGGCCGGUACAGAGGGCAGCUACCUGGUGACAGGAUGCAAAUCUCCAAAGCCGGUCUCAGUUCGGAUCGAAGUCUGAAACUCGACUUCGUGAAGUUGGAUUCGCUAGUAAUCGCGCAUCA
rnacentral:rRNA from 1 species